AACUCUUAGUGGUGGAUCACUCGGCUCGUGUGUCGAUGAAGAACGCAGCUAGCUGUGAGAACUAAUUUGAAUUGCAGGACACAUUGAUCAUCAACACUUCGAACACACCUUCCGGCCCUGGGGCCCUACCGGGGCUACGCCUGUCUGAGCGUAG